rnacentral:tRNA from 1 species
UAAAAGAUAAGCUAAGAUUAAGCUAACGGGCUCAUACCCCGUCUAUGAAGAACCCUUCUCUUUUAA